rnacentral:rRNA from 1 species
CGCGUAGGCGGUUCGGCAAGUCAGAUGUGAAAGCCCUGGGCUCAACCCGGGAAUUGCGUUUGAGACUGCUGAGCUUGAAUUCGGGAGAGGUUGGUAGAAUUCCCAGUGUAGAGGUGAAAUUCGUAGAUAUUGGGAAGAAUACCCGUGGCGAAGGCGGCCAACUGGACCGACAUUGACGCUGAGGCGCGAAAGCGUGGGGAGCAAACA